AUGUGUGAAGUUGUGGACGUGCAUCGCAGAGCUAGUGCAAGAUUAGCAUUUGUGGUUAAAAAAUGAAGCGUAGCGUUUGUUCUGGCAG